rnacentral:rRNA from 1 species
GACGAACGCUGGCGGCGUGCUUAACACAUGCAAGUCGAACGGAAAGGCCCUGCUUGUGUGGGGUGCUCGGGGGGCGAACGGGGGAGUAACACGUGAGUAACCUGCCCUAGACUUUGGGAUAACUUAAGGAAGCUGGGGCUAAUACAGGAUAGGAGCUCCUGCUGCAUGGAGGGGGGGGGAAAGUUUCGGCGGGUGGGGAUGGACUAGCGGCUGAUCAGUUUGUUGGUGGGGUAGUGGCUUACCAAGGCUGUGACGGGUAGCCGGCCUGAGAGGGGGACCGGGCACAUUGGGACUGAGAGAGGGCCCAGACUCCUACGUGAGGCAGCAGGGGGGAAUAUUGCACAGUGGGCGGAAGCCUGAUGCAGCAACGCCGCGUUCGGGAUGACGGCUUUCGGGGUGUAAACCGCUGUCGCCUGUGACGCAGCGGGAGUGACGGUAAUGGGUAAAGAAGCACCGGCUAACUACGUG